UUUUGGUGUUUCAAGGAGCUUAUGUUUUCGUUUUUUAUUUGGUUUUUUAUGUGGACUCAAAAGAUCUUCAUGUAUCUCUCACUUUGUCUUUAUAUUUUUCUUUUUUGACUUUUUUUUGCUAGAUAUAAAAAUACCUGUUUAUUUAUUAAUUCAAUGUAAAUGAUAUCUAAUAGCUGGUAUCUAAUAUCUAAUAAUAAUAAAGUUUCAUUUGAUUAUUUAAUAAUUGAAAGCAAAAAAAAAAAAUAAAGUUGAUUAUUUAUUUAAGAAUCAAAGUGUAUUAUUUAUUUUCUCCAUGACUCUUCAAAAUAAAAAAAGGACAAAGUUGAUAAAGAGAAAAGCCAAAAGGCUCAUACGUUGUGUCUCGUAAUUAUAUUGUCGCGUUUCAAGGCAAGCCAUCAGCAACCAUUGUAAAAGGACAUUGCCACUGGGAAGGUGCAGAGAAUGGUUGCUUUGGAAUUCCUUUAACCAAUGACUACUAUGAUGGGCGUGGAUACUGGGAGAGAAAAUUUUCAGGGUAUUUCUUAUCCUCAAGCAUAGAGACAGAUUAGGCUAAGUCGGUAAUUGGACAAGAGAAAGCUAUAUUUAUACAUAUGCAUCAUUUCUAGGAAGUAUGGUAGUUGAUUUGAAGUUGUGGUUGAUUUGUGUAUUUGAGGGGUCAACAGAGACUGAAGACAAGUAAGUUGGAGAUUGUUUUUGUUUUACAUAUGAAUUGGAAGUUUAUUAAUAUAUAGCUCUAGGGUUUGUUUGACCCCAGCUGUAUUGAUUGAGCUUUGUAAAUUAGUUUUCUGCAACAAGCAAA